rnacentral:rRNA from 1 species
GACGAACGCUGGCGGCGUGCUUAACACAUGCGAGUCGAACGGAAAGGCCUCUUUCGGGGGGGACUCGAGUGUCGAACGGGUGAGUAACACGCGAGUAACCUGCCCUUGACUUUGGGAUAACUUCAGGAAACUGGGGCUAAUACCCGAUAUGAGCUCCCGCUGCAUGGUGUGGGUUGGAAAGUUUCGGCGGUUGGGGAUGGACUCGCGGCUUAUCAGCUUGUUGGUGGGGUAGUGGCUUACCAAGGCUUUGACGGGUAGCCGGCCUGAGAGGGUGACCGGCCACAUUGGGACUGAGAUACGGCCCAGACUCCUACGGGAGGCAGCAGUGGGGAAUAUUGCACAAUGGGUGGAAGCCUGAUGCAGCAACGCCGUGUGCGGGAUGACGGCCUUCGGGUUGUAAACCGCUUUCGCUCAUGACGAAGCUUUGUGUGACGGUAGUGGGUAAAGAAGCACCGGCUAACUACGUG